rnacentral:rRNA from 1 species
CAUCCCGCACGCGGCGUCGCUCGGUCAGACUUUCGUCCAUUGCCGAAGAUUCUCGACUGCAGCCACCCGUAGGUGUCUGGCAGUGUCUCAGUCCCAGUGAGCCGGGCCAUGCUCUCACACCCGGUAACCAUCGCAGCCUUGGUGAGCCAUUACCUCACCAACAAGCUAAUAGUACGCGGUCCGAUCCAAGGGCGGAAUCACACCUUUGAUCCUUAGAUAUCAUCCAGUAUUACCGCCAGUUUCCCAACGCUAUCCUGGACCCUUGGGCACGUAACCACGCGUUACUCUCCCUUUCGCCGCUGUCCGUGUUCAAUGCAAGCAAAAAACACUUCUCGCACGACUUGCAUGCCUAAUCCACGCCGCCAACGUUCAUUCUGAGCCAGGAUCAAACUCUAAGGGC